rnacentral:misc_RNA from 1 species
AAGUCGUAACAAGGUUUCCGUAGGUGAACCUGCGGAAGGAUCAUUAUCACGUUUUACACGUUCAACAACCGCGGACUGUCUUUUCCUGGUGCUCAACUACUACCGUGUCGGCGAAUGCCUGCGGGCAAACGAGGCUCGGCGAUGUAGCUGACAAGUGAAGCGCUUUCCGGGAUUUCGGGCUUCAUUGCAUCGGGUGUUUUCACGCAAAUCCGUACCAACCCCUUUAACAACAACUGUUUUAUGUUUGAACUGAUCCGUUCUUUCUUUGUCGAAAGACAAAGACGAACAAUUAUUUAAAUUUUCGUACAACUCUUAGCAACGGAUACCUUGGCUCUC